AUACUAUACAAUAUACCAACAUUGUAUUUAGCACUGGAAAAACAGGUACUAAAGUAAAUCUCUACUCUUAAGUUUUUAUAAGCUCUCUUGUCCUUGAGAAUAUGUUCGUUAUGUCGUGGGUCUGUAAAAAAACAAAAAACCCCAAAUCAUUUUCUGUUUAUGUCUAAGGCUAACUGUCAGAUGACUGUCAAGAUACGGACUGAUUUAAAUCACUCUGUUCAACCAGACUGUAGAGUUCUGAUGAUACAGCCAGGAACUUGGGAUCAUGUACUUUACCUGAACCCACUGAAACAAACAUAUAAAACCACAAAGACUGAGAAGCCACGAAUACUGGUUGAAGAGCGUGCUUUUGCUUCAUGUUCUCAAACCAUUAAAAACAAUAAUAAAGAUAAAAAUUCA